GGCUGACGUUCAGGGAGCCUCUUUCACAAAAACAGCCCCAUAACACCGCUGGCAGCUGAAAAUCCCCAGACCCAAAGCCUGUAUUGAUCUUCUCAUCUCACCCUUCAAAAGGAAAGCAAGCAUGUUGAACUCCUUUUGUGGAAUAGGUGCUGCACACGGACUGGUCCACUAAUGAGUCUGUCAAAAUUCGAAGGAGCAAACGGUAAUACUUGUUACCAACUGAGAACAGAGAAAAAAGAUGUAUUCUUUUACACCAGUGUUCAGCAGGAUCCAGUGAUAUAAAAAAAUACUAAAAUAAUGGGCAAUGGCCAAUACUGCCUAUAAACGCAGUAAAUACAACAACAAAGCAGGCAAACACAGGUGUUCCAAUGUCUGACACAUGUUAGCAAAGAGGACAAACACAAAGCUUCAACUAAAUGGCUAAAUGGUGUUAUCCCUGUCUAACAGAGAGCUGCAGACAAUUAUGGGGCUAAAUCCUUUUUGAAAGAUCCCUCGCUGUAACCAAUCCAGCUUUCAUGGAUUCAGGCUAAUGGUCGAGGAUGUGUUUGUGGAUUUUCAUGAGCUUUAAUGUAUUCAUGAAGAUGGCUAUUUAUUGGACAAAGUAUUCACAAAACGUCACGAAGACGCCCCGCACCUCCCUCGCUCAGUGAGGGUGAAAAAGCUUCAAAGUUUCCUAGGACCCCCAAAUGGAUGUUUGGCUGGACCACAGAGGACACGGAGAACACAAGCUAAGUGCUUUAGCAGCGGGUGACGUUAACGCAGGAGGACAGGCUCAGUGUGGCGUGAAGCAGAAGAGUGCUGUGUGAGGUGACUUAUGGGACAAUGGGGCCGCUUUCUGCAAAUAAAACAUGAGGCUUAUCCAGAGCCUCUGAACUA